rnacentral:rRNA from 1 species
UUACGGUCAAAUCACGCUGAAACACCGGUUCUCGUACGAUCACCGAAGUUAAGCAUCAUAGAGCCAGGUCAGUACUUAGAUGGGGACCGCUUGGGAACACCUGGUACUGUAAG